rnacentral:rRNA from 1 species
UACGUAGGUGGCAAGCGUUGUCCGGAUUUAUUGGGUUUAAAGGGUGCGUAGGCGGUCGAUUAAGUCAGUGGUGAAAUACUUCAGCUCAACUGGAGAGGUGCCAUUGAUACUGGUUGACUUGAGUACUGAUGAGGUAGGCGGAAUGGACGGUGUAGCGGUGAAAUGCUUAGAUAUCGUCCAGAACACCGAUAGCGAAGGCAGCUUACUAAGGAGUAACUGACGCUGAGGCACGAAAGUGUGGGGAUCAAACAGG